UAAUCCACGUCGGAGCCGGCAGGUGCUU
rnacentral:piRNA from 1 species